GAUGAACGCUGGCGGCGUGCCUAAUACAUGCAAGUCGAGCGAACAGAUAAGGAGCUUGCUCCUUUGACGUUAGCGGCGGACGGGUGAGUAACACGUGGAUAACCUACCUAUAAGACUGGGAUAACUUCGGGAAACCGGAGCUAAUACCGGAUAACAUAUUGAACCGCAUGGUUCAAUAGUGAAAGGCGGCUUUGCUGUCACUUAUAGAUGGAUCCGCGCCGUAUUAGCUAGUUGGUAAGGUAACGGCUUACCGAGGCAACGAUACGUAGCCGACCUGAGAGGGUGAUCGGCCACACUGGAACUGAGACACGGUCCAGACUCCUACGGGAGGCAGCAGUAGGGAAUCUUCCGCAAUGGGCGAAAGCCUGACGGAGCAACGCCGCGUGAGUGAUGAAGGUCUUCGGAUCGUAAAACUCUGUUAUCAGGGAAGAACAAAUGUGUAAGUAACUGUGCACAUCUUGACGGUACCUGAUCAGAAAGCCACGGCUAACUACGUG
rnacentral:rRNA from 1 species